UACGUAGGGGGCAAGCGUUGUCCGGAAUUAUUGGGCGUAAAGGGCGCGUAGGCGGCCUGCUAAGUCGAACGUGAAAUCCCUGGGCUCAACCCAGGAACUGCGUCCGAUACUGGUUGGCUUGAAUCCGGGAGAGGGACGUGGAAUUCCAGGUGUAGCGGUGAAAUGCGUAGAUAUCUGGAGGAACACCGGUGGCGAAGGCGACGUCCUGGACCGGCAUUGACGCUGAGGCGCGAAAGCCAGGGGAGCAAACGGG
rnacentral:rRNA from 1 species